AUACCUUUCUCGGCCUUUUGGCUAAGAUCAAGUGUAGUAUCUGUUCUUAUCAGUUUAAUAUCUGAUACGUGGACAUAGUUCCACAUGAUAUUAACUUUAUUUCUCUAUAGGGGGAGAGUCCGUAAUGGCAGUUCACUGUCCGGACUCCCGAGCGUCACCUAUGCGUUGCACUACUGCAUGGGCUUUUGGCGCACCCCAC
rfam:Arabis alpina cultivar Pajares chromosome 6, whole genome shotgun sequence.